rnacentral:rRNA from 3 species
UGGGGAAUAUUGGACAAUGGGCGAAAGCCUGAUCCAGCCAUGCCGCGUGUGUGAAGAAGGUCUUCGGAUUGUAAAGCACUUUAAGUUGGGAGGAAGGGUUGUAGAUUAAUACUCUGCAAUUUUGACGUUACCGACAGAAUAAGCACCGGCUAACUCUGUGCCAGCAGCCGCGGUAAUACAGAGGGUGCAAGCGUUAAUCGGAAUUACUGGGCGUAAAGCGCGCGUAGGUGGUUUGUUAAGUUGGAUGUGAAAGCCCCGGGCUCAACCUGGGAACUGCAUCCAAAACUGGCAAGCUAGAGUACGGUAGAGGGUGGUGGAAUUUCCUGUGUAGCGGUGAAAUGCGUAGAUAUAGGAAGGAACACCAGUGGCGAAGGCGACCACCUGGACUGAUACUGACACUGAGGUGCGAAAGCGUGGGGAGCAAACAGG